UGAGGAAAAAUCGGCAAGGAUUGUUGACGACUUUUAUGUGAUCGUUGUAAUCAUUAUUCCGUUGUAUUCUUUUCAAUUACUGAUAUUUAGCGACUGCCAAUCGAGCAAUUGCUGGUUAAUUCCGUCAAGAAGAAAAGAAAGCAAUCCCAAGAUUUUCACAAUGGGUGACUCCCAGGAUCAGAACGAACCCCCGAAGGACCCAAAGGAGUUAGAAAAACUAGAAGAAGCUAAGCUAAAGGCAAAGUUCCCAAAUGCCAUGUUGGGACGUGGCCCCGGGGGACACUCGGCAUUCUUGCAAAAAAGACUUGCUAAAGGACAAAAGUUCUUCGACUCCGGCGACUACCAGAUGGCAAAGCAGCGGCCAGGGAACCUAGCAGCGCCCUUCAAGGCCCCAGCCGCGCCCGCCAAGCAGCCAACGGGCGACGCCAUCCCUACACCAGAAACCGUGCCCGUCCGCAAAACCUCCAUUAUCCAGCCCAAGUUCCAGCAAUCCAGCCAGACCUCCUAGCCCGCCGUUAAGUGACAGGAUUUUGUCUGUUAGCCUGACCAGACUUUCAGGGAUGUUUUGAGCAUUUUCUUGUUUACAGACAUUCAAUCUUCAUUCUAGUUCUCUGAUUUGACAGGCUUGGAACUAUAAAUUAAGUCUCAAGAUUGACUUUUAAGCAACAGGCAAUUUCUUGGUAUUCAGUGUUUUGAACCGGUUUUGAGCAUUCUCUGUUAGUCUGGACGGGCUCUAAUAGUUAUCAAAAGUGUUUCUUAACACAGAUUUCUUUUAAAUCCUAAUAAUAAUCUUGUCCAACCAGAAUUUAGAAACACUCUUGUUAAUACACAAUAGAAUUUAACAAUUUAUAUUUGCUUUUCUAGAUGUAGAAUAAAUGAAUGGUGACUGCACUAUAUUCAAUGAUUGCCAACCCUGCAAGCAUAAGAGAGAUAUUUUUGUCACGCUAUUAUUCUACUUUACUUUUUGCUAUGGCUAAUGCAUUGAAUUUUCGUAUAAGCACCUUUUUUUCCAGGGUCUGAUUAUUCAGGCUGGGACCUAAGGCUGUCUUUGGGGUCCAACCCUAUCAGACCCUAAUUUUGUGUUAGUGUGAAACAUCACUUAAAUUAAGAAUGUAGGUUGCCAGAGCUGGAGUUCCAACAACAAAAGUAUUGCUGAUGGCCGGGGAUUGACUGAACUAGACAUGCUUCUAGGUUAGUUUUCUCCAAUAAUGUAGCGAUGUGUUUUUUAGCUGGGUAAAUGUUAGAGCCAGCACUUAAAUGUGAUAAUUCAUAAAUAAACUUAAAAAAUUAGGGGUUUGCCAGUAUAAACAUCAUCUGGAUUUACUUGGUUUGAUUUUAAAUUAUGAUUCUAUUAAUUGUAUUCGUAACAUGUCAUUUUAAAAUGGUGUCUAAACUUGCAGCUUCCCCUGCUCCUGAAUACUUUAAAAAUGACAAUUAGAACAAAUUAAAGUAUUAUUAAAAAUAAUUUAAUUUGUGUUAUUUCAAGUAGAAACAACUAUAUAAAUUGUGACCUGGGUGGCCGAGGGGCCGAGGCACCUGCUGCGAUAGCAGAGGAUGCUGCUGGUUCGAUUCCAGCCCGGGGUCCUGGAGGCCUUGGUCACUUUCUUAGUGUAUGUUUUUAUUGGAUUUAUACUUUUAAGUUAUUUAGAGGGUUGAAUUUGAGAGCAUUUCAAGCAUGUUAGAUGUAAAGAAUACCCAGCUUUGGAGGGACACCAUUUCACUAAGCACUGAUUGUUGAUGUAUUAACUAUAAACAUGUGAUUAAUGUUCGGUCGUAAUUAGGGAUGUAUGUUGAAAUUUAAAUCUUAUAAGAACAACGUUAUAUUUUUAUGUAUAAAAUUUAGGCAUAGUCUUUGGGAUUUAAUAAUAGAAAAUAAAGAUUGAAAUCACACCAUCCGCAACUGCUCCAUAAAUUGCAACUACAGGAACUUCUUAAUGUUUCUAAUAAGUUCAUAGUGCAGCUAACACAAAUUGUGCAACGCACACUAUGGAUUAACGUUAAAAAAACAUCCUGAAACUUGGGCCGAUUUUUAACUUGUAUUUUUUUUUUCUCAGAUUUCGGUAGUUUUGGUAGUAUGUACAUGGGACCUAUGUACCUAUCUGUACAAUAUAAGCGCAAUUUCACUUUAUCUCCUUCACGAAAACGUAUGGUAUUUUCGUGGAUCAACGGAGAACUGCAUACAUUUUGGGACACACUUUGAUCCUCCCAGAAUAAGAAACUCUUCAAACUGACUAAAUUUUAUCGAAAUCUGACGAAAAAAAACUGCAAUAAAAUAAAAAU